GAUGAACGCUGGCGGCGUGCUUAACACAUGCAAGUCGAACGGAAAGGCCCAAGCUUGCUUGGGUACUCGAGUGGCGAACGGGUGAGUAUCACGUGGGUGUUCUGCCCUGAACUUCGUGAUAAGCCUGGGAAACUGGGGCUAUUACCGCAUAGGAUCAUUUUUUGGAUGGUGUGGUGGAAAGUAUUACGGUGUGGGUUGAGCUUGGGGACUAUUAGCUUGUUGGUGGGGUAAUGGCAUACCAAGGCGUCGACGGGGAGCAGGCCUGAGAGAGGGUACGGCCAGAUUGGAACUGAACGGCGGGCCAGACUCCUACGGGAGGCAGCAGUGGGGAAUGUUGGACAAUGGGCGCAAGCCUGAUGCAUGGACGUCGUGUGGUCGAUGACGGCCUUUGGGAUGGAAACACCUAUCGGUAGGGACGAGUCGUCUUUGUGACGGUACCUAGACAAGAAGCACCGGCUAACUACGUG
rnacentral:rRNA from 1 species